GUGGGCUGUGUGCAUGGGGGGCUUGCUAUGGGUGAUGAGUAGCUGCAUCGCCACUGUCUUUAUGAUCUCAAGGUGGUGACAGUAGGGCUAUGACCACCAAACAUAGGGCCUCAGGCUUCAGACAAGGGGGACCUUGAGGCCCUUCACAACACAUUUCUGCCCUUGACCUGCUGAGCCACGCCCCAUUCCAGUGGGAUUUGUGCCGGGAGUUAUACACUCUUUAGUCUGCUACAGUGAAACGGAAGUCAACUGAAUGUCAAUGGAGGGGGCAUGCAAUAGCCACCAGGAUGGCUACACUAUACUACCAAAAGCAGAGAGAGAUGGCAUCUAAAUCAAGUCCCUGUGUAGCCUGGAUGACUGGGAGCUGCAGAAAGGUCCAGAGAGGAGGGCAGAUGACUCUGAGUCUGACCUGUCCAGGUUCAGUCAGCAGUAACCGUGAACCCGAGGCUCUCUACACACUCCAUGCUGGAGUGGCUAAACACAACCCCUUCUUGUUUGUCUUGAAACAUAGCUGUCUGCAAAACACCCCAGGAGCCCACAGCAAAGAGCACUCCAAAUGCACGGGGUGCCUCUGAGUUUAUUUGUCUCAAUGUAUUCCAGUUACAUAGGAGCAAGGCGUGAUGACACAUCCCCUGCUGACUGAAGCCCACGGCCUGCGUGGUGGUGGGGGUGGGGGGAGCAUGGGCGUGGGGAGACGUGUUUCCUAGCUCCAUCUAAUGUAAAGCACCUUUAGCCGAGUGAGGCAGCAAGAAGGAUGUGGCUAAAACAAAUAAAAAUCAUUGCAGGAUCAAA